AACAAUACAGCCAAAAUGUUUUAUUUGGGCAAUACAAAUACAAUCAAAUCAAAAAUAUCACAGAUUUUCAUACAUUAGUAAGAAGUUACUGUACACUUGAACAGUUGCCAUUUUUUACAGCUAAACAAAAGCUUUACCUUUAUUAAAAUGUAUUUUCCUCUCACAUAAAAUAUACACUUUGCACUGACGUAUUUUACAUGGGACACCUCUCUGGGGAAGAACAGCUCACGAACAACACGACAGGGCCACCUUCUCUACCCCACACAAGAGCACAUCGAAGCGAGACACACGGCUGCUCCCAGGGCCGGCAGGGCCCUCCGAACAACUGCUGGGCUCGGGCAGUUGGGGGUUGGUUGAGUUUUGGGGUCACUGGAUUUCAGGGUUGGUGGAUUUUUAGGCCUGGCGGAUUUUAGGGUUGGUGCAUUUUUGGGGUUGGUGGAUUUUUGGAGUCGGUGGAUUUUAGGGUUGGUUGAUUUUUGGAGUCGGUGGAUUUUAGGGUUGGUUGAUUUUUGGUGUUGGUGGAUUUUUUGAGUUGGUGGAUUUCAGGCUUGGUGGAUUUUUGGGAUUGGUGGAUUUUGGGGCUGGUUGAUUUUUGAGCCUGGCAGAUUUUAGGGUUGGUGCAUUUUUGGGGCUGGAUUUUUGGGGUCAGUGGAUUUUUGAGGCUGGUCAAUUUUUGGGGUCAGCACGUUUUUGGGGUCGGUGGAUUUCAGGCUUGGUGGAUUUUUGGAGUUGGUGGAUUUUUAGGGUUAGUGCAUUUUGGGGUUGGUGGAUUUUUGGGGCUGGUGGAUUUUUGGGGUUGGUGCAUUUUUGGGGCUGGUGGAUUUUUAGGUCAGAAGAAGGGACUUUGGGCAGGGUUGAGCGUGGCUUUGGCGGCUCUUCCUGGGGUUCAGCUGCCAGGAACGCCCUCCCAGGAUGUUCCUUGUCGCCCUGUUCUUUUAAAAUUUUAAAGUUCUUUUAAAAGUUUUAAAGUUCUUUUGAAAGUUUUCAUGCCUUCUGAUAAUGUUUAUAUAUUUCUGCUGGAGUUCUCAGGCACUGUUGAUGUAAAUAAUGAUUGUUUUGCAUUCUUCUCUGUGGGAGGAGAGAAUUGAUGGGCUGCUGGUUUGACCAGUGUGGUUGGAGAGGUGGCAAUCCCAUCCCCCAGUCCACUGCCACUUUUGGAACUCUGCAUAUUGCGAGGUCAGAAAUAAAAGUUACUUCAUUUUGCUCUUGGUGUGAGUGCGUGAGUUAUUUUGUGUAGCAGUGCAGCAGUUCCUGGUGCCAGGGCAGGGGUUUGGGGGUCCCUCCAAAGCCGCCCUGGCCCCAGUGGGAUUCUGCACCCACAGAACCAGGGGAGCUCCUGGCAGCAGGGCAGGUGGAGCCCAGGACAAAGCCCAGGAGGGGUGAAAGGCUGUGGGAACAACUCUGGGUGAGCAGGAGGCUCCGUGGGAGCCCCAAAGGAACCGCUGGAUGUUUUUGGGACUGGAUUUGGAGAAGAGAUGCAGCAAGAAAUGCACUCGUCCCUACGGGCUGGAGUGAAACCUGGGGUGAACUUGGGGCUCUGCCAGACUCAGCUGAAAUGGAUUAAAGAAAGGGGGAAAAGGAAAUGUCACCGUGGUUUAAUCCUGGAGAGGAGAAGUUCUGCUCUUAGCCAAAGGAAAAACUUCUGGGAAAGGAUUUUCCUCCCUGCCCCUUGUACAGCAGUGAGGGGAGGGGAAGUCAGCGAGUGGCUUUGGAAAAAUCUCAGUGUAUUUUAAAGAGGAUUUUGAUGGAAUUGCAGGGAGGGAGAUCUGUGGGACAUGGACACAGAUGGUCUGUGUGCAGCCUGCAGUGAUCUGCCUCGGCUUCAGACCCCCCAAAAGGCACCAGCCACUUCUGAGGGCUUGGAGGGCUCAGGCAGCGCCUGGAUCUGGGAGUGGCAGCCCCAGCCUGGGGUCUCAAGGCUCCUCUCACACCCAGCUCCUCCUUCUGCUCCCGUCCUUUCCACAGAAACCCCCUGGCUGCCCCAGGCAUCCCUGCCUGCCAGGACCUGGGAACAGGGGCUUGCUCCUCUUCCAAAAACUCCUGCCAUCCUCAGGAAUAAGGCAUCUGUUGAGUUUAGUUACUGUAAACCACUUGUGAAAAACAAAAAUCCGCACCGUGUCCUGGCACCCCCAGGGGAUUUACUUAGACAUGAAUAAAAAAGAGUAAAAUAUAUAUUUAUAUAUAUAUAUAUAAUUAUCCUUUGCUAAUCGUAGCACAAUGUACAAUCUGAACCUGAUUUGGGAAUAAAAUACA
rnacentral:lncRNA from 1 species